GAUACCUACCUAGUUCUGGAAGGUCAGAAAAGCUGGCAAUCUAAUGAUAGGAGAGUCGGCAACCGAUGCCUCGAUGAACGGCUUAAGUAGUAUAAAGAUUUUAAGGUAGCAAAAUUAUUUGUCGAGUAAGUUUCGAUUCGCAUGAAAGAUG
rnacentral:rRNA from 1 species